AGUCGAACGAGAACGGGUUAUAGUUUACUAUAACUGUCAGCUAAGUGGCGCACGGGUGAGUAAUGUAUAGUUAACCUGCCCUCGAGAAAGGAAUAACAGUUGGAAACGACUGCUAAUGCCCUAUAUGUCCAUAAGACAAAAGUCUGCUGGGGAAAUGCUUUAGUGCUCGAGGAUGGGACUGUAUGGUAUCAGCUAGUUGGUGAGGUAAUGGCUCACCAAGGCAAUGACGCCUAACUGGUUUGAGAGGAUGAUCAGUCACACUGGAACUGAGACACGGUCCAGACUCCUACGGGAGGCAGCAGUGGGGAAUAUUGCACAAUGGAGGAAACUCUGAUGCAGCAACGCCGCGUGGAGGAUGACACUUUUCGGAGCGUAAACUCCUUUUAUAUAGGAAGAUAAUGACGUACUAUAUGAAU
rnacentral:rRNA from 1 species